rnacentral:sRNA from 1 species
GUGGAAAACCUUGAACUGAUGCACUAGCCUGACUCUUUUCGGCGUGGUCAGUGACGGUAAAGGGAAGCUGUACAAGAAACAUAUUUAUAACACGGUCCCAACGCAUUCGAUUUGCAUUAAUGGUGGGUUCCAGCCGCAGCCGCAGCCGUCCGGUGGUAUGUACAUA